rnacentral:lncRNA from 1 species
GUAGUGCGGCCGCAAUCGAAUACAAAACAAGACCAUCGUUACUUAUGGGGCUCGACUGGAAGUUAACUCGACAGUGUCGGCAGAGAGAAAGAGGAGAGAUCAUAUAUUUCUCCUUUAACGUCUCAAAAAACAAGACAGCGUGUAAAAACCAUGUGGAGCGACUCCAUCUCCGGAACCCCUCAGCACCAAUGACUGGAACUGCAUUAUGAAUGAUUUUAGAUUUUUGAAUGAGAUCUCUGCAGCCCUCUCCACUCUGAAGAUUGCCAUUGGAUUCAUGAAGCUUUCCUUUCCUAAUCCAAACCAGUACCUCACAAACUACUUGAAAAGGGACCUGAAACUUGAUGACAGAGUGCACAUAUUGAGUCGACCAGUGCCGAGAAGCAGUAGAGUGAAGCACAUCCAGUCUCUGUGGGAGGUUUUGUCUUUGAGACAGUCAUCUUUACUCAUUGAGAUGAAUCAGAAUCCAUUUUUCAUGAUUGAUGACCAGGAAUUUCAUGUCCACUUCUCAGAAGAAGAGAAGAAAAAAUAUAUGAAAAUUCUGGCAGGUUUCUCCAACAUUAACGUUCUCAUCACAGAGCUCCACUAUGUGAUCAUGAACAUCAGGUUCAAGGAUAUCAGUCCAGACUGGGGAAUUAUGGAAACCUUUGAAGCCUUCGAUGACAAAAAUGAGAUUGAUGUUAAGGCUGUGGAGUGUCUGGAGCCUCUUCGAGACUUGGAGAUGAGAUAUGGAAUCGCUCUGUGGAAACUCGCCGUACAGAUGAAGAAGGGCAUCAGGGGCACUAGAUAAAGUGAUUCAGGACACAAACAUGUCCAAGAGCAUCCAAGGUCUCCUAACUAUCCUUACAUAUAUAGUAUACUCUAAAUAAUCUCACCAAAUGUACUGCAAUUACUCAAAAACACUAUGUUAUCUAAAAAUGAAUCAUUUUGUGAUCUUUAACUAAUUGUGCUUCAUUUACUUUCUAAAAAUCUUGUUCUGUGUCUUUUAAGCGCUGUUUUUUGAUGUACAUGAACAGUUAUGCCUGGAUUUUGCUGUCAGCAUUUAAUGGCCACGUUUCUAGAGAAAUAUCCAAGUCCGGUUUAUUCCGUAUUCAGAAUUAACAGUUGUCUGUCACUGUCAUAAUAUAAAUGCAGCACCAAUAUUAGCUUUUUCUGGCAGCGUUAUGUAUAAUUUUACUGUGGUGAUUUGGGUAUUUUUGUUUUUUCUCUAUUUACCUUGUUUAUAAUUUAGCUUGUAAAAGUAAUUUUUCUGAACAAUUAUUAAAGGCUAUGUUUAAAAUUAUACAAAAAGUUGUAGAUUUAAACUAAUUUUAUAUAGUAAUUGUUUUGCCCACCACAUGCAAGAAGAAUUCAUGAGUUUCAUCACAUUAUGCAAACAUUUUCUUUUUUGUUUAUUUUUCAUUGAAAUAUGAGGUUAAUUUACAUUCUGCAUGGUGUAUUGAUGUAUUUAUGUAAACAAAGUCAAAUAUUCUUAGGAAUGUCCUCAAACAGUAUGUCGGCAUAUUCAUAACCAUUUAGUGUAAUGACUUUCUGUAAGGGCAAAAAAAAAAAACAUAUUAACUAAGGGUAAAAGGGUUUGAUUAUUUUGAUGAUCUACAAGCAAAUAAAUACUUCAUAAAUCAAAU